rnacentral:lncRNA from 1 species
AUUAUAUAUAUAUAAAGACGUCAACGUUCCACAUCAAAUGAGGACUGUAAAAACUCAAUUUUAAUCCAGAUGAAUGUUAAUGUGAAAAGCUUACUAUGAGUCUUAUUCUUCAAUGUUAUGGCAAUAACCAUGUAAAUGAAGGAGAGAGUUAAGAGAACGAUUCGACACACAACACAGAAAACUGAAAAUCUUUAGAACCCUUGCUGUUUUUUAAAUGAUAUUAUGUUUUAGCAGCCAUUAUGUUAUAUUGAAUGAUGUCUUAUUAAUAAAUU